rnacentral:lncRNA from 1 species
GUAAAAAAAAAAAAUAAAAUUACAACAUUUUCAAUGAUGUUUAAAAAAAAAUUAUUCUUAUAAGUACCAAAAGUUGUUGUUUUGAUCUGAAUGUUCAUAAAAAAAAGGAAACAACAACAAAAAAAAAAAAAAAAAAAAAAAAAAAUUAUAUAUAUAUAUAUAUAUAUAGUGUGUUAAGAAUGAUAAAAUCUUACACGAAUUAUUUAUAUAUUUAACUCAUUAAUAAAUACUAAAACAUACAACGUAAAGAUAAUUAAAAAUGUUCCUUUUUCAGAAUGUGUUUUUAUAGUAAUAAAGUUUAAUUUUAAUUAUAGUAAAAAGUAAACCACAAAAAAAAAAAAAAAAAAAAAAAAAAGCACAUACAUACAUAUAUACACGUGCUAAUACAAAUAUAUACUUACACAAACUAAACAAUUUCCUGUUUAAAACAAAAAAAAAAAAAAAAAUUUAUAAUAUUUAAUAAUUAUUUCUUUAACAAGCACGUUAUAAUAAAAAUCGAUUAUACACAAUCGCACUUACGCAUAUGGUACAUAUAAGUGUGUAUAUAUAUAUAACUAUGCGCGUGUUAUAUAUUUCACAUUAAAACAUAAACAAGGGGGUUAAAAAAGCAAGUAUUUCAAUAUUGUUCACUCAUUCAUUUAUUCCGUAUUACACAUGUAUUCACUAUUAAUAAAUAUAAUCACUGUUCAAAUUUUUUUUUUUUUUUUACAAUAUUAAUUAUUUUUAUACUAUUUUUAUACUAUUUUUUUUUUUUUUUUUUUUUUUUUUUUCUUUUUUUUAUGUUUUGUUUUUUUUUUUUUUUCCUUUUUUUUAAAUAGUAACUUUCACAUAUAUAUAUAUAUAUAUAUAUAUCGUGUGUUAAAAUAACACAAUAGUACGUCUGUGUGUACGUGUAUACGUGCAUACAUAUGUAUAUACAUUAAUUUGAAAUAUAAAACAAGUCAGUCAUCUCCUGGGUAUUUUUUUUUCUUUUCUUUUUUAGCAUGGUUUUUAUUUUUAUUUUCUAUUGUCAUUUUGUUAUUUGACGUAUAAUUAUUUUUUAUCGUAUUCUUGUUAUUAAACGGAUUACCAUACAGCUGUUGGUUCGUAUUUCUUUUUAUGUGUAGGUUUGACAUAUGGUCGUUGUAUGAAUUGUUAUCACUAAUGUUGUUGUACAUAUAAUUAUCAUUUGAGGAAAACCCGUUAUAAUUACUAUUACUACAACGGUUAUGACUGAUGUGAGUACUACUACGUCCACUAUGGUGAUGACCGCUGUUAGUAUGACCACUAUGGUGGUUCCCAGUAUGAGCAC